UGGGAAUUUGCAUCUGCAUAGGUUCCACGGAAGGGAGGAAACCCCUUUGAUUUAGGCUCUGGGUUCUUAAUUGGCCCAGCUGCCAGAAGUUAGAUUGAUUAGCCCGCAAGCCGGUCAUUGGAGAAUUUAAAAAUAAUCAAGAGUUAUGAUUGGUUUCGGGGGUUCCGACGCCACGUGCAAAUCAGGGAUAAAAGAUCUGGGAAAUGGCUGAGAAAGCGCACUCUGCAAUCCGCAAAUCGCCCGGCUGCUGAUGUUCCAUCUAAGUAGCUGUCCUUACGUCCUUUGUGAUGGAGAACUGCGAAAGCCUCUGAAAUGCGGAACCUUGGAAGGACUCUAACUAUCCUAUUUAUGUCUUAGUUGUGAGUAUGUAAGUCAGUUAGAUUUUAUAAUGUCUUUAUUUUCUUGCCUGCAACUUACUAAAGAUGUGCCUGCUAUUUUAGCAUGUUUUCUUAUGUUCUUUUAAAAUAAAUUUUAAAGAAGAAACUGUUUUGGUUUGUGUGCCUUUCCGGGGGAAAAGCUAAUUCCUAGCCUUACGUUUGGUUACGCUCUACCGUAGAAUUUCUGUCUGCAAGUCUGUGGAUACAAUUUGUGGAGUGGGGAUAACCAGCAAUAACGGGGCACAGCCUUCUCCCUGGGUUGUGGCUCUAGGUUCCCCGGACCAGAGGGAGUGGUGGCAGCCUUACCGGUGUUAUUUUGUCCUGUUUCUGUAAAAUGUAAACUUGCCUGCCAGCCCUGCUCAAGAAACCUGAUCUGGCCGGAGAGCAAAGACAGGUGAGGGAGGAGCGAGUGGCUGGGGGCGAAGUUUACCACAUGGUGGCAGCGGUGGGAUCGAGCUUCCCUGCGGAAAGGCACUUUGAUUUUUUAAAAGUGGCACGUAUCUUUUGUGGGUUACAGGUGGUUUGUUUUUUUGGAUAGAGAUAGUUAGGAGAUGGAGGAGGCUGCGACUUCGCAGGAAUACACAAUGAAGACGUUAGAGCAGUGGGGAUUGGUGGGAGAAGGCAGUUCCCUUCCUGUGGAGACCAAUCCCCCCCAAGCUUUAAGUCCCAGAGCGGAAUCCGCCUCCUGGUUUUCGGAAGACCCUGAUUCAGAGGGGGAGCUGGUGGAUGCCAGCGAGUUAAGUACUGUCCGGAAGGGUCGGCGAGAGUCCUGUAUUGUGGAAAGAGCAAGGGGCACGCCAGUUACCCAACCCCUAUCACCUAGUGAGGAAGUGGAUGCUGGGAUGGCCUCCACACGUCCUAGGGGGAAUUAUCUUGUUUACACAGAGCCUAAAGAGAUGGACUUCUCAGAGGGUUAUGAUGUGGAGUGGAUGCGAGAUCCGGUGAAUGGUGGAUUCCGUUGCCGAGAGAAACAUCCAAAGAUGGGCCAAUCCAUCCUGAUGGGGCCGAGAGUCAGCCGGAUGGCGUAUGACUACCAAGACCUGCCGCACCAGCUGCAGGAGGUGACUGUGGG